UGGGGAAUAUUGCACAAUGGGCGCAAGCCUGAUCCAGCCAUGCCGCGUGUGUGAAGAAGGCCUUCGGGUUGUAAAGCACUUUCAGCGGGGAGGAAGGCGUUAAGGUUAAUAACCUUGGCGAUUGACGUUACCCGCAGAAGAAGCACCGGCUAACUCCGUGCCAGCAGCCGCGGUAAUACGGAGGGUGCAAGCGUUAAUCGGAAUUACUGGGCGUAAAGCGCACGCAGGCGGUCUGUCAAGUCGGAUGUGAAAUCCCCGGGCUCAACCUGGGAACUGCAUUCGAAACUGGCAGGCUAGAGUCUUGUAGAGGGGGGUAGAAUUCCAGGUGUAGCGGUGAAAUGCGUAGAGAUCUGGAGGAAUACCGGUGGCGAAGGCGGCCCCCUGGAUAAAGACUGACGCUCAGGUGCGAAAGCGUGGGGAGCAAACAGG
rnacentral:rRNA from 1 species